CAUAGCGUAGCUUAAUCACUAUAAAGCAUCUGGUCUACACCCAGAAGAAUCUAGAAACAAUAGACGCUUUGA
rnacentral:tRNA from 1 species